UCAGAAAAGAUUGUGAGACAAAGUAGCCCUUAAUUUAAAUUCAUUUUAUGGGUCGAAUAAAACUGCCGCAAAAUGGAAAGAGUCUUUAAGCAACUGGAAGAAACAGCUCCGCGCUCGGGCUCCCAAGAUCAAAGCAGAACGCUUGCGCACUGGCGGAGGUUUGUUUUCAAACGAAGAGUUAUGAGAGUUCGAUGAACAAGCUCUUUCUGCAUUUGGCAUGGGUGCAGUCAAUGGAUUGGAAUGCGUAACCUUGGCUCUUCCUGGCACAUUCACAACUCCAGCGACUCCAUCACCACUAAGCGAAGAGGAAGCAUACCUGUUUGAGGAAACGUUGAUCGAAUCGCCAACCGCGUUAACCGUAGAACCCAAUGUUUCCAACAAAAAGUGACAAAGGAUGCGAUUUAUAAGAUGAUGGCUGAAGGUAUGCAGUCUCAAAGGCACAGAGAUGAGCAUCAAUACAGAAGAUAGCAUGCAAAUGGGGAAAGGGUUGGAGAUUUUGGGCAAUGCAAUCUCCAAAUUAGCCAAUAAGCUGUAGUUAGUUUUUUUUUUAUUAGCAACACAAGCGAA